rnacentral:rRNA from 1 species
AUACGGAGGAUGCGAGCGUUAUCCGGAUUUAUUGGGUUUAAAGGGAGCGUAGGUGGGAUAUUAAGUCAGCUGUGAAAGUUUGGGGCUCAACCUUAAAAUUGCAGUUGAUACUGGUUUCCUUGAGUACGGUAUAGGUGGGCGGAAUUCGUGGUGUAGCGGUGAAAUGCUUAGAUAUCACGAGGAACUCCGAUUGCGCAGGCAGCUUACUAGGCCAUAACUGACGCUCAGGCACGAAGGCGUGGGGAUCAAACAGGAUUAGAUACCCUGGUAGUCCACGCAGUAAACGAUGAUUACUCGCUGUUUGCGAUACACAGUAAGCGGCUUAGCGAAAGCGUUAAGUAAUCCACCUGGGGAGUACGUUCGCAAGAAUGAAACUCAAAUGAAUUGACGGGG